rnacentral:rRNA from 1 species
GCGCAGGAAAUUUGAAAGGAUCUGACCCUAGUACGAGAGGACCGGGUUGGACGAACCUCUGGUGUGUCAGUUGUUCCGCCAGGAGCACCGCUGAUUAGCUACGUUCGGGAUGGAUAACCGCUGAAAGCAUCUAAGCGGGAAGCCGGCCUUAAGAUGAGAUUUCCAUGCCUUCGGGCGAGAGGCUCCCAGCCAGACUACUGGGUUGAUAGGCCGGAUGUGGAAGAGAGGACGAAAGACUCUCGGAGCUGACCGGUACUAAUAAGCCGAUAAUUUGAUAAC